rnacentral:lncRNA from 1 species
CACACUUAAACCGGUGCUUAAUAUCUGAGCAGUUCUGUGUUGUUCUGAGUUAGAAACACUGUUUUAACUCAAAGUUUUAAAUGCAGAAAUGCUGUGGGGUCAGUAACCCUGGGAGAGGGGGAGGAUGGGCACUUAGACAUCAGACCUCAUGAGGUGAAAGAUAGUGUUUGGAAGAAGUAAGUGGCCUGGUGUUCAGUAACAUAUGCCUAACUAUAAACCUUCUCUUUUAUACUUGAGGAAGAAGCUGAAAGCACUGGACACACCUCUGUUUCUGUUGGAGGUCGCUUGCUGAUUUAUCUCCAAUUCACAGCUCAUUAGAAGGUAUGUAACUCUUCAGUGGUGUUGUUAUUUAACAGGUAUGUUUUCAUGCUGCUGCUAAUGAACUCUGGAUUUAGUAACUCCUGACACAAGAAAGAUUUCAGAGAUUAUUAACAUAAAAUUGGAAGUCUGUUCCCAUGGGUAGUGCAUAGAUUAGGUUAUGUAAUACCUAAUAAUAAAUUUACCGAUCUG